GGGGCACCCUGGUGGCGAGUGGCGAACGGGUGAGUAAUACAUCGGAACGUGUCCUGUAGUGGGGGAUAGCCCGGCGAAAGCCGGAUUAAUACCGCAUACGCUCUACGGAGGAAAGGGGGGGAUCUUAGGACCUCCCGCUACAGGGGCGGCCGAUGGCAGAUUAGCUAGUUGGUGGGGUAAAGGCCUACCAAGGCGACGAUCUGUAGCUGGUCUGAGAGGACGACCAGCCACACUGGGACUGAGACACGGCCCAGACUCCUACGGGAGGCAGCAGUGGGGAAUUUUGGACAAUGGGGGCAACCCUGAUCCAGCAAUGCCGCGUGUGUGAAGAAGGCCUUCGGGUUGUAAAGCACUUUUGUCCGGAAAGAAAACGCCGUGGUUAAUACCCGUGGCGGAUGACGGUACCGGAAGAAUAAGCACCGGCUAACUACGUGCCAGCAGCCGCGGUAAUACGUAGGGUGCAAGCGUUAAUCGGAAUUACUGGGCGUAAAGCGUGCGCAGGCGGUCCGCUAAGACAGAUGUGAAAUCCCCGGGCUUAACCUGGGAACUGCAUUUGUGACUGGCGGGCUAGAGU
rnacentral:rRNA from 1 species